UGUUGGGGGGGGAAUAAGAUUUUUCUCUCUGUGACAUAAAUGCUCCUAAGAAGCUGUACAACCUCCGACCCCGGACAGCCGAAGUCGGCAUCCGACCUCGGAACAUCCGACCUCAAGACGACCAAGACAACCGACCUCGGGACCUCUAAGCUAAGAAAGACCCCGACGUUCGAGGUCUACUCUUGUCGACCGCCUACCACGGCCGUGCACCUCUGAGGUCCGGCCGAGGACCACGCCCUGACACCCUUCGGGCAUUUAUUGCGCAUGGCCACUGUAACCCUCCGGCUUACUCAACAAUAAAUGCGGAUCUCCGGCUUACUCCACAAUAAAUGCAGAUCUCCGGCUUACUCCACAAUAAAUGCAGAUCUCCGGCUUACUCCACAAUAAAUGCAGAUCUCCGGCUUACUCCACAAUAAAUGCAGAUCUCCGGCUUACUCCACAAUAAAUACGGAUCUCCGGCUUACUCCACAAUAAAUGCACAUAGCUCCUGUCAUCUACGGACUCCCAGCUCUCCACGGCAAGUAAGCCCAGCAGAGUCUAGUCGACUAUGAUAAGACUCUGGUCUCGGCCAUACCUCCGACACCGAUACAAUAAUUCGCCUGGUUGCACAUAGCUCCUGUCAUCUACGGACUCCCAGCUCUCCACGGCAAGUAAGCCCAGCAGAGUCUAGUCGACUAUGAUAAGACUCUGGUCUCGGCCAUACCUCCGACACCGAUACAAUAAUUCGCCUGGUUGCGCGCUAGUUCGGGUUGUACGACGCCCUCACCGCCGACAUCAGUGCAAUGAUUCGCCUGACCAAGCGCCGACCAGAACGACAUGCCGAGCCGUACUACGG
rnacentral:lncRNA from 1 species